GUAACCUGCCCUUGACUCUGGGAUAAGCGUUGGAAACUACGUCUAAUACCGGAUACGAGCUUCAGCCGCAUGGCUAGGAGUUGGAAAGAUUUCUCGGUCAAGGAUGGACUCGCGGCCUAUCAGCUUGUUGGUGAGGUAAUGGCUCACCAAGGCGACGACGGGUAGCCGGCCUGAGAGGGUGACCGGCCACACUGGGACUGAGACACGGCCCAGACUCCUACGGGAGGCAGCAGUGGGGAAUAUUGCACAAUGGGCGCAAGCCUGAUGCAGCAACGCCGCGUGAGGGACGACGGCCUUCGGGUUGUAAACCUCUUUUAGCAGGGAAGAAGCGCAAGUGACGGUACCUGCAGAAAAAGCACCGGCUAACUACGUGCCAGCAGCCGCGGUAAUACGUAGGGUGCAAGCGUUGUCCGGAAUUAUUGGGCGUAAAGAGCUCGUAGGCGGUUUGUCGCGUCUGCUGUGAAAACGCGAGGCUCAACCUCGCGCCUGCAGUGGGUACGGGCAGACUAGAGUGCGGUAGGGGAGAUUGGAAUUCCUGGUGUAGCGGUGGAAUGCGCAGAUAUCAGGAGGAACACCGAUGGCGAAGGCAGAUCUCUGGGCCGUAACUGACGCUGAGGAGCGAAAGCGUGGGGGACGAACAGGAUUAGAUAACCCUGGUAGUCCACGCCGUUAAACGUAGGGGAACUAAGAUGUAGGGACCCAUUCCACGGGUUUCUGUGUCGCAGCUAAACGCAUUAAGUUUCCCCGCCUGGGGGAGUACCGGUCGCAAGACUAAAACUCAAAAGGAAUUGGACGGGGGCCCGGACAAGGGGGCCGGAGCCUGCGGAUUUAAUUCGAUGCAACGCGAAGAACCUUUACCCAGGCUUGACAUAAAAGGAAAACGCUGGAAACAGUCGCCCCGCAAUGUCUCUAUACAGGUGGUGCAUGGUUGUCGUCAGCUCCGUGUCGUGAGAUGUUGGUUUAAGUCCCGCAACGAGCGCAACCCUCGUCCUAUGUUGCCAGCACGUUAUGGUGGGGAACUCAUGGGAGACUGCCGGGGUCAACUCGGAGGAAGGUGGGGAUGACGUCAAAUCAUCAUGCCCCUUAUGUCUUGGGCUUCACGCAUGCUACAAUGGCCGGUACAAAGGGCUGCGAUACCGCGAGGUGGAGCGAAUCCCAAAAAGCCGGUCUCAGUUCGGAUUGGGGUCUGCAACUCGACCCCAUGAAGUUGGAGUCGUUAG
rnacentral:rRNA from 1 species